rnacentral:misc_RNA from 1 species
GUUAAUGAAAUUUGUGCAUUUCUUGAUUGAAUUGGAUUUUGAUGUUUGGAUCUGUUUUGUGUUCUCUGAUGUGGGUUUUAUUUUGGGGUUUCUCUUGAAUUAUUUAUCUUUUUCUGAGUUUUGAUGUGUCUUUAUGUUCCAUUUGAAGUUCUAAUUCCAAGCAUAUAAUUUAUUUAAAGAGACAAAUGGUCUUUAUUGUGAAAAUGAUAUGGAUAUAAUUGUCUUGUAGGGUUAUAAUCAAGUGUGAAAAUAUUUCCAUGUUAGCCAAAAAAGUUUGGGAUCAUUGUCUUUUUAUCCAUCUUCUGCAAACAUGUAUUAUUAUAAGUGAUUCUUGUUGGGUUCCUUAAAUCCCAUUUGCUAUUCAUUUUCUUUCUUUAUUUUUGCUUUCAUUUCUUUAAAUAACUAAGAGGCAUUUGUUGUCUUUGAG